UUAGAGCGUCGGAUUGUGGUUCCGAAGGUCGCGGGUUCAAACCCCGUCGUUCGCC
rnacentral:tRNA from 2 species